AUGCUUAAGCAGCAGUUAUAUUCAAACUGGAACCAUGCAGAGAAGAUUAGCAUGGCCCCAGCACAAGAAUUACAAAAAAAUUUGUGAAUCCCUUUAUAGUUUA